CCCCCCAGUCGAACGGUGAACACGGAGCUUGCUCUGUGGGAUCAGUGGCGAACGGGUGAGUAACACGUGAGCAACCUGCCCCUGACUCUGGGAUAAGCGCUGGAAACGGCGUCUAAUACUGGAUACGAGUAGCGACCGCAUGGUCAGUUACUGGAAAGAUUUAUUGGUUGGGGAUGGGCUCGCGGCCUAUCAGCUUGUUGGUGAGGUAAUGGCUCACCAAGGCGUCGACGGGUAGCCGGCCUGAGAGGGUGACCGGCCACACUGGGACUGAGACACGGCCCAGACUCCUACGGGAGGCAGCAGUGGGGAAUAUUGCACAAUGGGCGCAAGCCUGAUGCAGCAACGCCGCGUGAGGGAUGACGGCCUUCGGGUUGUAAACCUCUUUUAGCAGGGAAGAAGCGAAAGUGACGGUACCUGCAGAAAAAGCGCCGGCUAACUACNUGCCAGCAGCCGCGGUAAUACNAG
rnacentral:rRNA from 1 species